GGACCGAAGAGGUUAAGCCUCUUACCCAAUGUCACGCAGCUGGUAAACAAUAGAACUAAACCCAAGUCUGGCUGCAACCAGAGCCGUAGUGCGUGGUUGCAUGUUAUCAGCCUCUCUUGGUCAAAGGAUUCAGAAGGCAAAGGACUCCAGACGUUUGAGGUUCAGCGCGCAGGCUCCCUAGGCCUCCAGCUUGGCCUGGAUUCGUUUUGAUCCACGUUGCCCACCUCCCCCACCCACUGGAGUAAGGGAACCAAGACAACAGCCUUCAUGGCCCACCUCAAAGACCCUGUCCCUACCAACCUCAACACAUAGUCACACACACACACACACACACACACACACACGACUUCUGGGGCCAAAUAUCAGAGCCUGAAAAAGAAAUAAGUAUUUCCGGCCAGGUGCGGUGGCUCAUGCCUGUAAUCCCAGCACUUUGGGAGGCCGAGGCGCGUGAAUCAACAUGGCGAAACCCCGUCUCUACUACAAAUACG
rnacentral:lncRNA from 1 species